rnacentral:tRNA from 1 species
AGAAGUUUAGGUUAAAUUAGACCAAGAGCCUUCAAAGCCCUAAGCAAGUACAAUCUACUUAACUUCUG